AUGGAGCUAUCCUUAGUGUCAAAGUUGUUGGCAACCUGGUUAACCACCAAUUAGAAGUCACUGAAGAUAUCAAUUCGUUUAACCCCAAGGUGUUUGGCCAAACGUAAGCCUGCUAGGAGGGCUUCAUACUCGACCUCAUUAUUUGAUGCCUUGAAUUUGAAAUGAAUAGCAUACUCCAUUACCACUUUGUCUGGGGCAGUCAAGACUAGUCCUGCUCCACAACCCUGUUGGUUGGAUAAGCCGUCAACAUAUAGAGUCCAUACUAGGAAAGUUGGUUCUAUCUUCUGAUUUUCCGGGGGCAAUGAAGCCACCGUUUCAGGUGUAGAAGCAAUGUCAACAGGAUAAGUGAAUUCGACGAUGAAAUCUGCCACUACUUGGCCCUUCUAGCCGGCUUUGGUUAGUAGGAGAUGUUAAACUCACCCAGUGCUGUCGCCCAUUUGAUCAUUCACCCCAAAGUGUCAGGACUCUGAAGUAUCUGUCGAAUGGGGUGAUUGGUAAGUACAAUGAUGGACUGUGCUUGGAAGUAGGGGCGAAGCUUCCGAGCAGUCAUGACCAAUGCUAUAGCUAAUUUCUCAAUGUUGGAGUAUCAUGUCUCUGCAUCUUGUAAAGCCUUGCUAGCAUAGUAAAUAGGUCGUUCGACAUUACCAUCC
rnacentral:lncRNA from 1 species